rnacentral:rRNA from 1 species
GCAUAUCAAUAAGCGGAGGAAAAGAAACUAACAAGGAUUCCCCUAGUAACUGCGAGUGAAGCGGGAAAAGCUCAAAUUUAAAAUCUGAUAGUCUUUGGCUGUCCGAGUUGUAAUCUGGAGAAGCGUUUUCUGCGCUGGACCGUGUACAAGUCUCUUGGAACAGAGCGUCAUAGAGGGUGAGAAUCCCGUCUUUGACACGGACUACCAGUGCUAUGUGAUGCGCUCUCAAAGAGUCGAGUUGUUUGGGAAUGCAGCUCAAAAUGGGUGGUAAAUUCCAUCUAAAGCUAAAUAUUGGCGAGAGACCGAUAGCGAACAAGUACCGUGAGGGAAAGAUGAAAAGCACUUUGGAAAGAGAGUUAACCAGUACGUGAAAUUGCUGAAAGGGAAACGCUUGAAGUCAGUCGCGUUUGCUAGUACUCAACCUGUCUUUUGACUGGUGCAUUUACUAGUGAACGGGCCAGCAUCAGUUUUGGUUGCGGGAUAAAGUCUAGAGAAAUGUGGCAUCUUCGGAUGUGUUAUAGUCUCUGGUCGUAUACCGUGGCUGGGACUGAGGAUCUCAGCACGCCUUUAUGGCGGGGGUUUUACCCACCUUCGGCUUCGGAUGCUGGCGUAAGGGCUUUAAACGACCCGUCUUGAAACACGGACCAAGGAGUCUAACAUGCCUGCGAGUGUUUGGGUGGAAAACCCGAGCGCGUAAUGAAAGUGAAAGUUGGGAUCUCUGUCGUGGAGAGCACCGACGCCCGGACCAGACCUUCUGUGACGGUUCCGCGGUAGAGCAUGUAUGUUGGGACCCGAAAGAUGGUGAACUAUGCCUGAAUAGGGUGAAGCCAGAGGAAACUCUGGUGGAGGCUCGUAGCGAUUCUGACGUGCAAAUCGAUCGUCAAAUUUGGGUAUAGGGGCGAAAGACUAAUCGAACCAUCUAGUAGCU